rnacentral:rRNA from 1 species
UGAGGAACAUGACCUUCGGCGGGGGAUAGCCGGCCCAACGGCGGGUAAUACCGCGUACGACCACAUGGGGACAUCCCUGAGUGGUGAAAGCAGCAAUGCGCCGAUGGAGUGCCUCGCGGCCUAUCAGCUAGUUGGUGAGGUAACGGCUCACCAAGGCAACGACGGGUAGCUGGUCUGAGAGGAUGGCCUGCCACAUUGGGACUGAGACACGGCCCAGACCUCUACGGGGAGG